GAAAACUAACAACCAGCUUAGUCCUGAAGAACCCAGCCCCCACAAUUUUCAGAGUUAAUUUUAAAAAUCUGAAGAUGAUUGUCUUCAAUCAAUGUCAUAUACGAGGAAAGUUUUAACCGCAAUUUUGCGUGGGAUCACGAAGCAACACAGCAUACUGGGAUAAUUGUGAACAAUAUUUCAAGAAUAAUUUCAUGCCAACAUCAUACCAACGUUUCAGAGAUGAUGUAUGUGGGCAAAUAAAUGGACACAACAUCACAAUUUUGACUUCACUGUGUGUCGAGAAUGUACAAUAAGAAGAAUAGAUCACGGUAUGCUUCAUUACAACAACCGGCAGCUUCAGAAGAGCUGAUUUAACCACAACAUACCAAAUACAAUUAU